GCCCGGCUGGCGCAAUCGGUAGCGCGUAAGACUUCUAUUUAAUCCUAACUCUUGCAGUUGGUCGAUGCCAUCUUAAGGCUGUGGGUUCGAGUCCCACGUCGGGUG